rnacentral:lncRNA from 1 species
CUUUGGAAACACUAUGCCCCCAACAUGUUAGAUAAAAAGCCAAUGAUAAUGGUUUUACAAAAUUAUGGGACUUUUAAUGGAACUAUUGCGUGGUAUGGUUUGGUAAUGGAACUUUGAAUGGUUUAAAUAGUUGUGAAUGGGUAAUAUGAAUUAUUUUGUCUUUAUAGUUCUGGUUAAUAAAUUAUGGGGUACAUAGAAUUCCUCCAAGAAAACAUAAUA